rfam:Gossypium hirsutum cultivar TM-1 chromosome 1, whole genome shotgun sequence
ACAACCUUACGUGAACAGGAUCUUUUCUAUAGGCUCGUACCUCUUUGUCCUUAAGCUCGAAGAAGACAGGUUUCCAAGUCUCGUUGAUGAACCACGACUGUGUGAUCUGAGCGUGAUUAUUGGUCUUGUGGUUUCCACACUGGUUUCACUUCGACCGCAAAGGAUCGUUCCAAGCUUGCCUUGUGCGGCUGGAAAGGUCACACAGUUGUCUGACAGAUU